AUACAUCACCUCCGUCUCCGCCGCUACCCCUUCCCUCAUCUUCCACCACCUCCCCACCAUCUCCCUUCCUCCCUCCCUCGCCUCCUCCCGCAACCACGAAACCCUAACCUUCGAACUCGUCCCCCUCAACAACCCUUACGUCCACCAAGCCCUCCUCUCCAUCUCCCACAGCUUCUCCAUCAAAGCUUUUGUCAUGGACUUCUUCUGCGCUCUCGGGCUCUCCGUCGCCGCCAAGCUGAACAUCCCCAGCUUCUUCUUCUUCACAUCCGGCGCUGCCUUCCUCGCCAGCUUCCUCUACCUCCCCACCAUUCACAACAUCACUGACAAAAGCCUCAAAGACCUAAAUACCCUUCUCAACAUUCCAGGAGUCCCGCCGAUGCCUUCCUCCGAUAUGGCGAAACCGACUCUUGACCGAAGCGACAAGGCGUACGAACAUUUCCUAGCAAGCUCAAGCCAGUUCCCCAAAUCAGCUGGGAUCAUCGUAAACACGUUUGAAUCUCUCGAACCUAGAGCUCUCAGAGCAAUAUCGGACGGC
rnacentral:lncRNA from 1 species